GUUAGAAUAGCUCAGUUGGUAAGAUCGUGUGGUUGCUAAUCAUAAGCUCGAAACUUCAAACCCUUCCUCUAGCG